GAUGAACGCUGGCGGCGUGCUUAACACAUGCAAGUCGAACGAUGAAGCCCAGCUUGCUGGGUGGAUUAGUGGCGAACGGGUGAGUAACACGUGAGUAACCUGCCCUUGACUCUGGGAUAAGCCUGGGAAACUGGGUCUAAUACUGGAUAUGACUUCUCAUCGCAUGGUGGGGGGUGGAAAGAUUUAUUGGUCUUGGAUGGACUCGCGGCCUAUCAGCUUGUUGGUGAGGUAAUGGCUCACCAAGGCGACGACGGGUAGCCGGCCUGAGUGGGUGACCGGCCACACUGGGACUGAGACACGGCCCAGACUCCUACGGGAGGCAGCAGUGGGGAAUAUUGCACAAUGGGCGCAAGCCUGAUGCAGCGACGCCGCGUGAGGGAUGACGGCCUUCGGGUUGUAAACCUCUUUCAGUAGGGAAGAAGCGAGAGUGACGGUACCUGCAGAAGAAGCGCCGGCUAACUACGUG
rnacentral:rRNA from 1 species